rnacentral:rRNA from 1 species
UACAGAGGGGGCCAGCGUUGUUCGGAAUUACUGGGCGUAAAGCGCACGUAGGCGGCUUUGUAAGUUAGAGGUGAAAGCCCGGGGCUCAACCCCGGAAUUGCCUUUAAGACUGCAUCGCUAGAAUUGUGGAGAGGUAAGUGGAAUUCCGAGUGUAGAGGUGAAAUUCGUAGAUAUUCGGAAGAACACCAGUGGCGAAGGCGACUUACUGGACACAUAUUGACGCUGAGGUGCGAAAGCGUGGGGAGCAAACAGG